rnacentral:snRNA from 1 species
GUGCUCGCUUCGGCAGCACAUCUACUAGAAUUGGAAGGAUACAGGGAAGAUUAGUAUGGCCCCUGCGCAAGGAUGAUACGCAAAUUCGUGAAGCGUUCCAUGUUAAA